rnacentral:lncRNA from 1 species
GGCACGGAUCACCCUAUCCAACGUGCCGCCGUUUAUUAGUGAUGAGUUCCUGAUACGGGAGCUGUCUAGGCAUGGGAAGGUGGUCUCUCCCAUCCGCAAAAUGUCAUCAGGGUGUAAGUCACCGCUGCUGAGACACGUAGUGUCUCACCGCAGGCAGGUACAUAUGAUCCUCAAUAAUAAGGCGGAGGAGUUCAACUAUCGGUUCAUAGUCAGGGUAGAUGACUUCGAUUACACCCUUUUUGCAACCUCCUCCGCCCUCAAAUGUUUCAAUUGUAGAGAGGAGGGUCAUCUGGCGAGGGCUUGUCCGAACCGUGUGGCCCCGGACGCGCCGGCGGCGGAGCCCGCCGCCCCCGCAAGGCGUCGGUGGCUCAGUGCGGAGGAAAGCCCCGCUGCCCCGGACGGAGCGGUAGCGGAGAAGCGGGACGAGUGUGCGUGUGAGAGUGAGGUGAGUGGAGGGAGCGAGAGUGUUGAAAUGGUGGUGGAAAUGAGUGGUGAGAGUGGUGAAUCAAGGGGGAAGGUGGACUUAACUGUGGUGGUGAGUGAUUUGAGUGGCGUGAUGAUUGAUGGUGUGUGUGAUUUGAAUGAACUGGAAAAAAAUGGUGAGGUGAUGAGUGAAACAGGAAAAAUGGGUGAAGCAGGAGAGACUGGGGACACGAUCCAAACAGGUAAGCUAGGGGGAGUGAGUCAAGUGAUGAGUGAACUUGGGGUGCCAGGGAUAGCGGCUGGUGAAGUGAGAGAAAAAGCAGUGAGCACAGGUGAGUGGGGGGAGGAAGCAGUGAGCACAGGGGAGCGAGGUGAGGGAGCAGUGAGCACAGGGGAGGGAGCAGUGAGCACAGGUGGGGAAACAGUCAGCACAGGUGGGGAAACAGUCAGCGCAGGUGAGGGAGUAGUGAGCGCAGGUGAGGGAGCAGUGAGCACAGGGGAGGGAGCAGUGAGCGCAGGUGAGGGAGUAGUGAGCGCAGGUGAGGGAGUAGUGAGCACAGGGGAGGGAGCAGUGAGCGCAGGUGAGGGAGUAGUGAGCGCAGGUGAGAGCGCUAGUGGUGUGUCUGAGUGGUGGCUUGUUCCCGCGAGGCGGCGCAACAAGCGAAAAUGUGCGAUGAAAGAUAAGGGAGAUAGUAAAACCAGGCGGCUGGAGGAUGCAACCGCUGGCACGGACACCAGCGACUGCGAGUCCAUGUCGGACUGCAGUUCGCUAUCCGAUACAAUGCCAGACGGGCAUGAAAGCAAUUUGUACCCUCCCAGCAUGCUAAGUAACUUCCUGAGACAGACCAAGGGCAUGAAGGGCCUUAAUCUGGAAAAACAUUUUCCCGACAUGCUCCUCUUCGUCCAGUCGGCGAGUCACUUGAUCAAACAUAGGGCCACGUCAGACCUCACCAACCCUGAAAUCUUCAGGCUUAAGAAGCAUAUGGGCAAAGCGAGGAAACAGCUCAACAUAUAAAAAAAGACUUGCGAUGUUUCCUUGGUUGUUUUUUUUACUGUCUUUGAUUUUAAACCUCACCUCACUAUGCACACUUUUAGAGUGGGAACGUUGAAUGUAAACGGCGCCAGGGACGCAAAGAAACGGGCACUAGUGUUCGACACAGCAAAAAGAAAACGAGUUGAUGUCAUGUUCCUCCAGGAGACCCACAGCGACCGGAACAAUGAAGCAGACUGGGAGAAGGA